rnacentral:rRNA from 1 species
AAUAUUGGACAAUGGGCGUAAGCCUGAUCCAGCCAUGCAGCGUGAGUGAAGAAUGUAUUCUGUUUGUAAAGCACUUUAAGUUGGGAGGAAGGUCAGUAAGUUAAUACCUUCCUGUUUUGACGUUACCGACAGUAUAAGCACCGGCUAACUCAGUGCCCGCAGCCGCGGUAAUACGAAGGGUGCAAUCGUUAAUCGGAAUUACUGUGCGUAAAGCGCGCGUAGGUGGUUCGUUAAGUUGGAAGUGAAAGCCCCGGGCUUAACCUGGGAAUUGCUUUCAAAACUGACGAGCUAGAGUACGGUAGAGGGUAGUGGAAUUUCCUGUGUAGCGGUGAAAUGCGUAGAUAUAGGAAGGAACAUCAGUGGCGAAGGCGACUACCUGGACUGAUACUGACACUGAGGUGCGAAAGCGUGGGGAGCAAACAGG